rnacentral:rRNA from 1 species
CCUACGGGUGGCAGCAGUGAGGAAUAUUGGUCAAUGGACGAGAGUCUGAACCAGCCAAGUAGCGUGAAGGAUGACUGCCCUAUGGGUUAAACUUCUUUUAUAUGGGAAUAAAAUGUUCCACGUGUGGGAUUUUGUAUGUACCAUAUGAAUAAGGAUCGGCUAACUACGUGCCAGCAGCCGCGGUAAUACGGAGGAUCCGAGCGUUAUUCGGAGUUAUUGGGGUUAAAGGGAGCGUAGGUGGGUUGGUAAGUCAGUUGUGAAAGGUUGCGGCUCAACCGUAAAAUUGCAGUUGAAACUGGCAGUCUUGAGUACAGUAGAGGUAGGCGGAAUUCGUGGUGUAGCGGUGAAAUGCUUAGAUAUCACGAAGAACUCCGAUUGCGAAGGCAGCUCACUGGACUGCAACUGACACUGAGGCUCGAAAGUGUGGGUAUCAAACAGGAUUAGAUACCCGAGUAGUC